CGGCAGACGCUGUGUCUGUUGGCUUAAAUUUUGGUAUGGAAAAAUUAUGGAUGGUGUGUAUUUGACUAGUCAAAUACACACCAUCCAUAAUUUUUCCAGAUCAAAAGUCAAGUUAACAUACACAGCUACUCUC